rnacentral:ncRNA from 1 species
UUUAAGUUAGUUAAGAUUAAUUUAUUGUUGUUUUUUUAUUUUAGGAAAAUUCAUUUUGUGUUAAUUUAAUGAUCAAAGAAUAGUAAAUGUUUUGAGUUUAAGGAGUUAAACAAUGAUUUAUUUGAUUUAGGGUUAGCAUUUAUGUAGAUAAAUAAGGUGCCAGUAAUCACGGUUAUACUUUGUGCAUAAAAUGAAUUUAUAUUAUAGUGUAAGUCGUGUAAUUAUUUCUUAUUAGUAGAAUAUAAGAUGUAGUUAUUUUAAAUUUUAUUAUUGACAGGGAUUAGAUACCCCUUUAUAAAAUAUAUUUAUAAUAAAAUAGAAUUUCGGAAUAUAAAAAAUUAGACGGUUGUUAGCUAAAACAGAGGUGCUUGUUUAGUAAUAUGAUAAUCCUCAAUACAAUUCACUAUUAAUAAGAAGUGUAUGUCCGUUUAGAUACUUUCAUAAGUUAGUGUCUCUAAAUCCAGGUCUCCAUGCUAGUUUAAUAGUUUUGAAUGAGCAGCAAUGUUAUAUCGUGGAUUUAUUUUUGAAAAAAAUAAUGAGAAAGGAUUUGUAUGUAAGUUUAUGUAAAGAUCUUAAAUUGAAAUUUUUUAGCUUGGAGUACUCACCGCCCGCCAAUGUAAAUGUAAAUUUCUAUAAAGCGUAACAAGGUAAGUUUUCUAGAAAGAGAACUUGGUUUUA